rnacentral:rRNA from 1 species
UACGAAGGGGGCUAGCGUUGCUCGGAAUCACUGGGCGUAAAGCGCACGUAGGCGGCUUUCUAAGUCAGGGGUGAAAUCCUGGAGCUCAACUCCAGAACUGCCUUUGAUACUGGAGAGCUUGAGUCCGGGAGAGGUGAGUGGAAUUCCUAGUGUAGAGGUGAAAUUCGUAGAUAUUAGGAAGAACACCAGUGGCGAAGGCGGCUCACUGGCCCGGUACUGACGCUCAUGUGCGAAAGCGUGGGGAGCAAACAGG